AAUUGCAUGGUGUAGUGGUUCGAGCUUUAGAAUUUGACUCUAGAGACCAGGGUUCGAAUCCCUGCUCAAAAA